GUAGGUGGCAAGCGUUGUCCGGAAUUAUUGGGCGUAAAGCGCGCGCAGGCGGUUCUUUAAGUCUGAUGUGAAAGCCCACGGCUCAACCGUGGAGGGUCAUUGGAAACUGGAGAACUUGAGUACAGAAGAGGAAAGCGGAAUUCCACGUGUAGCGGUGAAAUGCGUAGAGAUGUGGAGGAACACCAGUGGCGAAGGCGGCUUUCUGGUCUGUAACUGACGCUGAGGCGCGAAAGCGUGGGGAGCAAACAGGAUUAGAUACCCUGGUAGUCCACGCCGUAAACGAUGAGUGCUAAGUGUUAGGGGGUUUUCCGCCCCCCUUAGUGCUGCAGCUAGCGCAUUAAGCACUCCGCCUGGGAGUACGGCCGCAGGCUG
rnacentral:rRNA from 1 species